rnacentral:misc_RNA from 1 species
GAUGAAGAACGCAGCGAAAUGCGAUAAGUAAUGCGAAUUGCAGAAUUCAGUGAGUCAUCGAAUCUUUGAACGCACAUUGCGCCCUGUGGUAUUCCGCAGGGCAUGCCUGUUCGAGCGUCAUUUCAACCCUCAAGCCUCGCUUGGUGUUGGGCCCUGCCCGCCGCGGCCGGCCCUAAAGAUAGUGGCGGCGCCGCCUGGCCCUCAGCGUAGUACAGCUCUCGCUCCAGGGUCCGGCGGCAGCCUGCCAGAACCCCCCAACUCUGUGGUUGACCUCGGAUCAGGUAGGGAUACCCGCUGAACUUAAGCAUAUCAAUAAGCGGAAGGA